CCUACGGGGGGCAGCAGUGGGGAAUUUUGGACAAUGGGCGAAACCCUGAUGCAGCAACGCCGCGUGAGCGAUGAAGGCCUUCGGGUCGUAAACUUCUAUCAGCAGGGAAGAAGGAAGUGACGGUACCUGAAUAAGAAGCCCCGGCUAACUACGUGCCAGCAGCCGCGGUAAUACGUAGGGGGCUAGCGUUAUCCGGAAUUACUGGGCGUAAAGGGUGCGUAGGCGGCCCUUCAAGUCAGAGGUGAAAGGCUACGGCUCAACCGUAGUAAGGCUUUGAAACUGUAGGGCUUGAGUGCAGGAGAGGAGAGUGGAAUUCCCAGUGUAGCGGUGAAAUGCGUAGAUAUUGGGAGGAACACCAGUUGCGAAGGCGGCUCUCUGGACUGUAACUGACGCUGAGGCACGAAAGCGUGGGGAGCGAACAGGAUUAGAUACCCUAGUAGUC
rnacentral:rRNA from 1 species